rnacentral:misc_RNA from 1 species
AGCAGCCGCGGUAAUUCCAGCUCCAAUAGCGUAUAUUAAAGUUGUUGCAGUUAAAAAGCUCGUAGUUGAAUUUCGGGAUCAAUAUGUUUGGUCGUGCCUCGGUACGUACUAGCUUAUUGGUUUCUCCUUUCUGAAGAACCAUGAUGUCAUUCAUUUGGUGUCGUGGGGAAUCAGGACUGUUACUUUGAAAAAAUUAGAGUGUUUAAAGCAGGCUCACGCUUGAAUACAUUAGCAUGGAAUAAUGAAAUAGGACGUUUGAUUCUAUUUUGUUGGUUUCUAGGAUCGACGUAAUGAUUAAUAGGGAUAGUUGGGGGCAUUAGUAUUCAAUUGUCAGAGGUGAAAUUCUUGGAUUUAUUGAAGACUAACUACUGCGAAAGCAUUUGCCAAGGAUGUUUUCAUUAAUCAAGAACGAAAGUUAGGGGAUCGAAGACGAUCAGAUACCGUCGUAGUCUUAACCAUAAACUAUGCCGACUAGGGAUCGGAUGAUGUUAAUUUUUUAAUGACUCAUUCGGCGCCUUAC